UGAAUACGAGACGCUAAGGCGUUGAAGUAGUGUAUGUCAUACUUCCAAGAAAAGCUUGCACUGUCAUAGAUAAAAAACGCCUGUACCAUAACCGACACAGGUGGGUAGGUAGAGUAUACUAAGGGGCGCGAGAUAACUCUCUCUAAGGAACUCGGCAAAAUAACUCCGUAACUUCGGGAGAAGGAGUGCCUUAUUUAUAAGGCUGCAAUAACAAGAUCCAAGCAACUGUUUAUCAAAAACACAGGUCUCCGCUAAGUCGUAAGACGAUGUAUGGGGGCUGACGCCUGCCCAGUGCCAGAAGGUUAAAGAAGUUGGUUAGCAAUAGCGAAGCUGAUAACUGAAGCCCUGGUCAACGGCGGCCGUAACGAUAACGGUCCUAAGGUAGCGAAAUUCCUUGUCGGGUAAGUUCCGACCCGCACGAAAGGCGUAAUGAUUUGGAUACUGUCUCGGAGAGGGGCUCGGUGAAAUAGACUUGUCUGUGAAGAUGCGGACUACCUGCACCAGGACAGAAAGACCCUAUGAAGCUUUACUGUAACUUGAAAUUGAAAUUGGACUUUAUUCGCGCAGUAUAGGUGGGAGGCGUUGAUUGUAAUCUUGCGGGAUUAUUGGAGCCAUCAGUGAGAUACCACCCUUGUAAUGUUAGAUUUCUAACUUUGAAUCAUUAUCUGGUCAAAGAACAGUUUCAGGCGGGCAGUUUGACUGGGGCGGUCGCCUCCUAAACGGUAACGGAGGCGUACAAAGGUUUCCUCUGAACGGUUAGAAAUCGUAUCUAGAGUGUAAAGGCAUAAGGAAGCUUGACUGUGAGACCUACAAGUCGAGCAGGGACGAAAGUCGGUCUUAGUGAUCUGACGGUACUGAGUGGAAAGGCCGUCACUCAACGGAUAAAAGUUACUCUAAGGAUAACAGGCUGAUCUCCCCCAAGAGUUCACAUCGACGGGGAGGUUUGGCACCUCGAUGUCGGCUCAUCGCAUCCUGGGGCGGUAGUACGUCCCAAGGGUUGGGCUGUUCGCCCAUGAAAGCGGUACGCGAGCUGGGUUCAGAACGUCGUGAGACAGUUCGGUCCAUAUCCGGUGUAGGCGUUAGAAUAUUGAGAGGAGCCUUCUUUAGUACGAGAGGACCGAGAAGGACAUACCUCUGGUGUACCAGUUAUCGUGCCAACGGUAAACGCUGGGUAGCUAUGUAUGGAGUGGAUAACCGCUGAAAGCAUCUAAGUGGGAAGCCCACCUCAAGAUAAGUAUUCU
rnacentral:rRNA from 1 species